AAACUUUAUUUGCAAACGCGUUUAGGAGCAGGGGAAGAGAGAAAGGCACGUGUCCUCUGCUGGGGACUUCGCUUCGCAUUUUUUCUUUCUCGGGGAAGCGUAGCCGGCAUACCGCCCGUCCCUUUCCCAUACCCUUCGCUCGUCCCUUUACGCCAUGGAUCUUGGCCACCUGACCCCCGCCCUCGAGCGCCUCUACAUCGACGAAGUUCUCCACCUCCACUCCCUCUGGCACCGUGGCCCUCAACGGAACCCUAAUCCUCACCCCAACCCUACCCUCCGGCCGGCCACCUCUGCCGCAUUCAAGAAAGAAGCCAAGAAGAAAAAGAAGUCGAAAUCCAAGUGGGAGAAGAAGUGGGAAAGGAAGAAGCAACAACAGCAGACCUCUGCCGCUGCCUCCGACCAGCCUCCGGUCAAAGUGGUCGAAUGGCCGCGCAAUCCCACGCCGGAAAAGUAUGCUGCGAUGGCCACUUGGACCGAUAUCGCCCCGCCGCCGGCCGCCUCCCAGCCCCGGCCUCCGGCCUCCGCCGAGGAGCGGGCGAGGGUCACCGCGGAUCUGGCGCAGCAGAGCGGCUUGAAGACCUGCGAGGACUUCUUCUCCCGGAAGGACGGCUCCGACGACGGGGAAGAGGACGAGGACGAGGAGGACUCCAUGGAUGAGAACGAGGAGGAGACCGAGGAGGGAGAUUUCAAGUUCUUCUUGAGACUUUUCAAUGGCGAUCGAGAGUUGAGGGAGUACUAUGAGAAAAAUUGGGAGAAGGGAGACUUCAGCUGCUUGGUUUGUGGGGCGACGGGGGUCAAGAAGUGGAAGAGGUUCGGCAACUGUGUCGGCCUCAUCCAGCACUCAAACUCCAUCUCGAAGACGAAGAGGAGGGAAGCGCACCGGGCUUUUGCGAGGGCGGUGUGCGAAGUGCUUGUUUGGGACAUCAACAGACUGCCAAGCAUAGCUUUUGAUUUGGGCAACUCUCUCGGCCAGUCCUUGGCGAAAACUGCCAAUCCACAGCAGGAUAUGCAGAAAGAAGAUCCCUCUGCUCAAGAAGGUUUAUCUGUUGGAGUAGAAGAGCCUUCUAAGGAAGUUUAUGAGAAUGUGGAGACAGAUAAAGUGGACUUGAUGGACUGUAUUGAAAAAGAGAUCAAAGCUUUACCUAGUGAAAAUUUGCAGAAAGAAGUUGAAAUUGAUGAGAGAGAAAAUGAUGAAGACCCGAUGGAUUGACUAGAAACAAAAAGAAUCACAGGAUUACCAAAUGAGUAUCAAAGUGUCACUUCUUUGUCCAUUAAAGUGAAGAAAUGCUUCUAUUCAGAGAGCUAGCACGCAGACCAGCGGCAGCAAAACCUUUGCUACACAAGAUGGAUUUCUCCACACUGGUGUUAUUUAAGCGAACUGCAUUAGAAUGGCAAUAUACUCAGUAUAUGCUUUCCCAGAAACACUCAAAUAUACCUGCAAUAUGAUGUGCAAAGGCAACACCAGGGAAGAUGGUAAUGGUCGUCAGGCAAGAAGGUCUUUCCACGAUGCUCAUAUGUGGCGAGGUAGUCUUUGUAAAAGCAAUGGAUUUUGUACCUUGGGUUCGGGAGAGCAGACUGCAUGAUAUGAUAAACGUACUUGCUACCUUGGGAUUUUGGCAUUUCUGUCUCUCUUUCUGGAUGCAGCACGUGCUUGAUUUCACCAGUGAGGUGUGUUUAUAUGUAUUUUUUGCUGCUUCAUAUUCGAGUUAAAAUUUCAUAUUGUAGUGACUUCUCUUUAUUCUCACCAGCUGCCCAGCAUGGGGAUAGUUGUGGACAUCAGAAUUAAGUUUCAUAUGGAUAUAGUGUAAAACUUCGUAUAUAUUCUGUUGCCUGUUGUACUUUGCUUUUUUCUUCUGCCAUGCGGUAGCUGACACCAAGGAUUUUUGACUAUUUA